CUCAAUCUCAUCACUGAAAAAGCACCAAAAUCUCUCUCUCCCUUUGAGAAUCUUUCAAACCCCAACAAUCUUUUUCUUUUAAAACAUGUGGAAAUUAAUGGGUUCCUCUCAAUUUUCUAAACCAUCCUAUCUUUUCCCUUUCCUUGCUCAAUUGAGCUUAAUAAUUCACGUGUGUCUUGGAGCAAGAAAGCUAACAUCACUCUGCCAACCUCCACCCAUGGCCCUAACUUACCAUGGUGGUGAUUUGCUCCAAGGGGACCUCCCAAUUUCAAUUCUAUGGUAUGGAAAUUUCUCACCACCUCAAAAAUCCAUUGUUGUCGAUUUUAUUCUCUCUCUUAAUCAUAUUGAUCCACAAAAUGACCAACAAUCCAAGUCCUCAGUCUCUGUGUGGUGGGGCACAGUCCAAAACCUACAUGAAAAAAGCUGGCAAAAGGCCAACCCGCAUUUCUCUCUCAACCCAACUCUCAGACAAAAACUACUCAAUUGGCAAAAACUUGAAGAAAUCUCAUGUCUCCGAGUUGGCUCACCGGGUCAACUCGUCACCCGGUGGGUUGACUCUUGUCCUCACAUCGCAUGACGUGGCGGUUGAGGACUUUUGCAUGAGCAACUGUGGGUCCCAUGGCCACAAAGCCAACUCGGUCUUCAUCUGGGUUGGCAACUCGGUGACUCAGUGCCCGGGUUAGUGUGCGUGGCCGUUCCACCAACCCGUGUACGGGCCACAGACAACACCUUUGGGUGCACCCAACAGGGACCGGGGGGGGAUGGUAUGGUCGUAAAUAUCGCGAGUCUUUUGGCCGGUUCUGUGACGAACCCGUUUGGAAGCGGCUACUAUAUGGGCUCGGCUGAGGCUCGGCUGGAGGCGGCUUCGGCUUGUCCUGGGGUGUAUGGGAAAGGGGCUUAUCCCGGUUAUGCUGGGGUGUUGCCAUUGGACACAAGUUCUGGUGCGAGCUACAAUGCGAUUGGUCUGAACGGGAGGAAGUACCUCUUGCCUGCUCUGUUUGAUCCUAAUACUUCUCAGUGUUCAACCAUUGAGUGA